CACGUAGGGUGCGAGCGUUGUCCGGAAUUAUUGGGCGUAAAGAGCUCGUAGGCGGUGUGUCACGUCGGCCGUGAAAACCUGCAGCUUAACUGUGGGCGUGCGGUCGAUACGGGCAUCACUGGAGUUCGGCAGGGGAGACUGGAAUUCCUGGUGUAGCGGUGAAAUGCGCAGAUAUCAGGAGGAACACCGGUGGCGAAGGCGGGUCUC
rnacentral:rRNA from 1 species